rnacentral:lncRNA from 1 species
CAUCUUUUUAUCUGUAAAACAACAACAAAGACUAGUGGUAGGAGAGGGAGCACACACACAAUAAAAAUUAUUUUGUAUCAUUUUGAGAAUAUAUACAAACAUAUAGUCCGAUAUAUAAUGGAAACUCAUUGUACUCCAUUGUCAAAAAAUGGCUCAUUUUGUGAUAUUUCAAAACAAGGUCAUAACAUAUAGACAUACAACAUGUCAUUCUUGAAUUUUUUUAAAUAAGUAUAAUUAGAGGCUUGUUCGCCUGUAGCUCUCUUAGUUAGCUUGAAUGGCUAUUAUUAAAAUGAUCACACUAGCACUAGCAUUAAUUCUUUCAACACCUGUGGAUUAAAAGUCUACUGUACAGGCUGUGUGUGGUGGCAGAAGCAUGUGGAUCUCUGUGAACUUGAGGCCUAGGCCAGCCAGGGAUAUGCAGUAAGAACCCAUCUCAAGGAACAGAAAAGAAAAAAGAAGAGAAGAGAAGAGAAGAGAAGAGAAGAGAAGAGAAGAGAAGAGAAGAGAAGAGAAGAGAAGAGAAGAGAAGAGAAGAGAAAAAAAGACAAAAGAAGAAAGGAGAGGAAAGAAAAGGAAAGGAAAUCUACUGUACAUCAAUUGUAGGGUUACAAAUGCUAAGACACAUGUGUGUCUCUUGAGAUGGCUUCACAGCAUUUUGCAUUUUGUAAAAAACCAAAGAGUUGAAGAUGUGGAGUGAAUUAGCAAGCAGAUGGAGCAAGAAAGCAGGUGACGCAGCAGAGUAAAGAGCAAUGAGAUAGGGAUGCUGAGAGAUGGCUCAGGUAAGACAGUGGCUGUUCUUCCAGAGGACCCAGGUUCAGUGCCCAGUACCCAUAUGGAGACUGACCACCAUCUAUAAGUCUAGUCUCAGGAGGUCUGACACCUCCUCUGAGCUCACAGGCAUCGUCCAUGCAAGUGGUGCAUGGACAUCAUUAUACUCCAUGGUCAAAAAUGGCUCAUUUUGUGAUACUUCAAAAGAUGGAGCACAUAACAGAGCCUAAGGGAGAUGUGGAUGAGUUGAAUGGAGUCGAUGUGGAUUUCCUAACACUGUGAGUUCGCAUGACAUUUGCCAGAAGUAAAUAAAAGAAAUGGAAUAGAAAAAAAAACAAAGCAAAUAUUAAAUCUUGACCUGAAAUAUUUGAGGAAAAGUAAUUCAGUGUACCCCAACAACUGCUAAAAGCAUUCAUUAUCACUAAGGCCUUAUGUUCACACACACACUCACACACACACACACACACACACACUCACACACACAUACACACACACUCACACGCACACACUCACAUACUCACACACACUAACACACUCACACACACAUACACACACACACUCACACACUCACACACACACACACACACACAUACAAAAGGAGGGUGGGAGGGAGAGAAUGUUUGUGAAAUCCUGAGGAUUCCUGUACAAGUAUUUGUUUUGUUUGUUUUCCUAACCAAACAGACAUAUUUCAUCCAAGAUGAGUGAUCUAUUUUUAAUAACCAAAUACACACAUUUUUCCAUCCUCAUAGCAACCAAUCCCCCAACUCUUUGGAUACUAACAGUGUCUCCAACAAUUCACUUAAGUCUCCCAUUAAUUACCAGGAGUUAGCAUGAGACUACAGGUUCAUAGCUCAGCUGCACAAGACCUGGCUCAUUUCAGCUGCUGGUCACCAUGUCAGAUCACCCAUGUGUCUCCAUUCUCCUCCGCAGGGCUAAGUGAUGAGUGAAAACGGAAUCGAUUUCCACUGUGCAGUAUAAGGAUUUGAGAAUUGUACCCACUGACAGAUCUACCCACCACACAUUUUUGUGUGUGGUAAGAACACUUAUGAUCUAUUCUUUUAGGAACUUUCAAUGAUAUAAUAACACAUUAUUAACUAUGGUCACCAUGCUACACAAUAGAACUCAGGGAUCUGGUCACCCUGUCCAGUUAAAACUAGACUCUUCCAGUAUCUCUGUAUUCUUCCUUCUCCUCUAGACCUUGGCAACCAUCAUUCUACAUCCGGCUUCUUGAGUUCACCCUUCUCAGUUUGCACAUAUAAGAAAGACCUUAUAGUCGGGCGUGGUGGUGCAUGCCUUUAAUCCCAGCACUUGGGAGGCAGAGGCAGGCAGAUUUCUGAGUUUGAGGCAAGGGUUAGGCAAGCCUCUACAGAGUGAGUUCCAGGAGAGCCAGGGCUACACAGAGAAACCCUGUCUCGAAAAAAAAUUUAAAAAA